rnacentral:rRNA from 1 species
AGUGAACGCUGGCGGUAGGCCUAACACAUGCAAGUCGAACGGCAGCACAGUAAGAGCUUGCUCUUACGGGUGGCGAGUGGCGGACGGGUGAGGAAUACAUCGGAAUCUACUUUUUCGUGGGGGAUAACGUAGGGAAACUUACGCUAAUACCGCAUACGACCUACGGGUGAAAGCAGGGGAUCUUCGGACCUUGCGCGAUUGAAUGAGCCGAUGUCGGAUUAGCUAGUUGGCGGGGUAAAGGCCCACCAAGGCGACGAUCCGUAGCUGGUCUGAGAGGAUGAUCCGCCACACUGGAACUGGGGCACGGUCCCGACUCCUACGGGAGGCAGCAGUGGGGAAUAUUGGACAAUGGGCGCAAGCCUGAUCCAGCCAUACCGCGUGGGUGAAGAAGGCCUUCGGGUUGUAAAGCCCUUUUGUUGGGAAAGAAAAGCAGCAGGUUAAUACCCCGCUGUUCUGACGGUACCCAAAGAAUAAGCACCGGCUAACUUCGUG